CAGGCCUAACACAUGCAAGUCGAGCGGGCCUCUUCGGGGGUCAGCGGCGGACGGGUGAGUAACACGUGGGAACGUACCCUUUGGUCUGGAAUAACUCAGGGAAACUUGAGCUAAUACCGGAUACGGCCGAGAGGCGAAAGGUUUAUCUGCCGAAGGAUCGGCCCGCGUCUGAUUAGCUAGUUGGUGGGGUAACGGCCUACCAAGGCGACGAUCAGUAGCUGGUCUGAGAGGAUGAUCAGCCACACUGGGACUGAGACACGGCCCAGACUCCUACGGGAGGCAGCAGUGGGGAAUAUUGGACAAUGGGCGCAAGCCUGAUCCAGCCAUGCCGCGUGAGUGAUGAAGGCCUUAGGGUUGUAAAGCUCUUUUAUCCGGGACGAUAAUGACGGUACCGGAGGAAUAAGCCCCGGCUAACUUCGUGCCAGCAGCCGCGGUAAU
rnacentral:rRNA from 1 species